GCUGGCGGCAUGUCCAAACAUGCAAGAAUAGGGGGUGUAGCAAUACAUCACCGGCGGACGGGUGCGUAUUUUCUCCGAAUAUACCUUUCGGUACGGAACAACUGGGGGAAACUUCAGCUAAUACCGUAUACGUCCUAACGGAGAAAGAUUUAUCGCCGAAGGAUUAGCCCGCGCUCGAUUAGCUAGUUGGUGAGGUAAUGGCUCACCAAGGCUACGAUCGAUAGCUGUUCUGAGAGGAAGAUCAGCCACACUGGGACUGAGACACGGCCCAGACUCCUACGGGAGGCAGCAGUGGG
rnacentral:rRNA from 1 species